AUCAAAGGAUUUAAGGCUGACGGUGGAGACCUAGGUACCCAGAGACGAUGAAGGGCGUAGAUACCAGCGAUAUGCUUCGGUGAGCUGGAAACAAGCUUUGACCCGAAGAUCCCCGAAUAGGUCAACCUCUUGUACUUCCUAUUGAAUUCAUAUAUAGGAAAGAGACAACCCGGUGAAUUGAAACAUCUUAGUAGCCGGAGGAAAAGAAAGCAAAAGCGAUUCCCGUAGUAGCGGCGAGCGAAACGGGAACAGCCUAAACCCACUUUAUGUGGGGGUUGUGGGAGGACAUGAUUGGUUAGCAUAUAUUAGAUUAGCACUAAAAAAAAGCUAAUAUAUUAAUAAAAACGAGUCAUUUAACUGUUUGGUUUACCAAACACUAUAAAAAAAGAAAAACGAAGCAGCUGAAUCCUGCACCAUAGAAGGUGAAAGUCCUGUAGUUUAAAGCUUUAAUUUUGUCUUAUCCCGAGUAGCAUGGGGCACGUGAAAUCCCGUGUGAAUCUGCGAGGACCACCUCGUAAGGCUAAAUACUCCUGGGUAACCGAUAGCGAAAUAGUACCGUAAGGAAAAGGUGAAAAGAACCCUUUGCAGGGAGUGAAACAGAACAUGAAACCGUCAGCUGACAAGCAGUGGGAGGAUUUAAGAAUCUGACCGCAUGCCUGUUGAAGAAUGAGCCGGCGACUUAUAUGAAGUGGCUAGGUUAAGUUAACCCGGAGCCUAAGCGAAAGCGAGUCUGAAUAGGGCGAUAGAGUCACCUCAUAUGGACCCGAACCCGGGUGAUCUAACCAAGACCAAGAUGAAGCUAGAGUAACACCUAUUGGAGGUCUGAACUGACCGGUUUUGAAACAUCGGCAGAUGAGUUUUGGUUAGCUGGAGAAAUUCCAAUCGAACUCGGAGCUAGCUGGUUCUCCCCGAAAUGCGUUGAGGCGCAGCGGUCACGAUGAGCUACCAUAGGGUAAAGCACUGUUUCGAUGCGGGCUGCGAGAGCGGUACCAAAUCGUGGCAAACUCAGAAUAUAAGGUAUUGCUUUCCGUGCACCAGUGAGACUUAGGGGGAUAAGCUUCUAUGUCAAGAGGGAAACAGCCCAGAUCACCAGCUAAGGCCCCCAAAUGGCCGCUAAGUGGAAAAGGAUGUGAGAAUGCUCAAACAACUAGGAGGUUUGCUUAGAAGCAGCCACCCUUUAAAGAGUGCGUAAUAGCUCACUAGUUUAGCGCUCUUGCGCCGACAAUGGCCGGGACUAAGCGGCCUGCCGAAGCUGUGAGAUUUUUUUAUAAAAAAUCGGUAGGGGAGCGUUCUGCUUUGGGUGAAGCUUACACGUAAGUCUAAGUGGACAAUGCAGAAGUGAGAAUGUCGGCUUGAGUAACGAAAACAUUGGUGAGAAUCCAAUGCCCCGAAAACCUAAGGGUUCCUCUACAAGGCUCGUCCGUGGGGGGUUAGUCAGGACCUAAGGCAAGGCUGAAAAGCGUAGUCGAUGGCAAACAGGUUAAUAUUCCUGUACUCGUUUUAGUGGGAAUCGAGGGACGAAGGAGGCUAAACUGGAACUAUGUAUGGAUUCUAGUGCAAGCAUUCGAGGUUUUGAUAGGUAGAAAAAAAACUAUCCUAGAGCUGAGAUGUGAUGCUGUUUCAAAAACUUGUUUUUGAGACACCAGCUAUGUCAAACUUCCAAGAAAAGCUCGGGAACUUUUAACACUAAAAUGACCUGUACCUGAAACCGACACAGGUAGGUAGGUAGAGAAUACUAAGGGGCGCGAGAGAACUCUCUCUAAGGAACUCGGCAAAUUAGCCUCGUAACUUCGGAAGAAGAGGCGCCUUGGAGUGAUCCAAGGCCGCAGUGACCAGGCCCAUGCAACUGUUUAACAAAAACACAGGUCUCCGCUAAGUCGCAAGACGAUAUAUGGGGGCUGACGCCUGCCCAGUGCCGGAAAGUGAAGGAAGUUGGUCAUUUCUUUUUGAAAGAAGCUGACGACCGAAGCCCCGGUGAACGGCGGCCGUAACUAUAACGGUCCUAAGGUAAGCAAAAUUCAUUGUCGAGUAAGUUUCGACCUGCACGAAAGGCGUAAUGAUAUGGGCACUGUCUCAGAGAGAGACUCGGUGAAAUAGACAUAUUCGUGAAGAUGCGAAUUACAUUCACCUGGACAGAAAGACCCUAUGAAGCUUGACUGUAACCUGGAAUUGGGUUCGGGCUUUUCUUGCGCAGUCUAGGUGGGAGGCUUUGAAGGUUUCUUUCCGGAGGAACUGGAGCUGUUAUUGAGAGACCACUCUGGAAAAGCUAGAAUCCUAAUGGUGAUCCUUGAAUCAGGACACUUGACAGUUUCAGGCGGGCAGUUUAUUUGGGGCGAAUACCUCAUAAAAGGUAACUGAGGCGUGCAAAGGUUCCCUCAGUCUGGACGGAAAUCAGACGUGGAGUGUAAAGGCAAAAGGGAGCUUGACUGUAAGACAAACAAGUCGAGCAGGGGCUAAAGCCGGCCUUAGUGAUCCGACGGUGCCGAGUGGAAGGGCCGUCGCUCAACGGAUAAAAGUUACUCUAGGGAUAACAGGCUGAUCUUAUCCAAGAGUUCACAUCGACGAUAAGGUUUGGCACCUCGAUGUCGGCUCAUCACAGCUCGGAGGGGUAGUACCUUCCAAGAGUUGGGCUGUUCGCCCAUUAAAGUGGUACGUGAGCUGGGUUCAGAACGUUGCGGAGACAGUUCGGUCCAUAUCCGGUGAAUGCGUUAGAAUAUUGAAGACAUUCUACAAUAGUACGAGAGGACCUUGUAGAACGUGCCUAUAGUGUAUCAGUUAUCUUUCCAAAGGUAAACGCUGAGUAGCCACGCACGGGUCUGUACCUUUUCGAGGUAUGGAGUGAAUAACCGCUGAAAGCAUCUAAGUGGGAAGUCUUGUCUAAGAUGAAUAUUCUCUAUGAGACCACGGGAAGAUAACCCGAUACAUAGGAAUCAAGUGUAAGGCUAGUAAUAGUUGCAGCUGAGAUUUACUAAAGGUCCAUCGAUUUUGAU
rnacentral:rRNA from 1 species